rnacentral:lncRNA from 1 species
UGGCAUAUAUACUAAAUUUAGUCCUGGUAUCUAUGAUGUGUUUAUUUACAACCACUGGGUCGAUGCCACUGCUGGUGGAGAUUUAUUUUCCCGAGGGUAUCACAAGCCCAGUAGUCAGCGCUUUUUGUGCUGACAUGAAUUGUCAUUGAUAUGGUUAUAUUUAUAAAUUUACUGUUUACAAAUUUUUGAAUUUUUUGAAAUACUAAGGCUUUUCUACCUCAGGCAUAG